GCAAGUCGAACGGUAGAGGGGGCAACCCCUUGAGAGUGGCGAACGGGUGACUUAUAUAUCGGAACGUGCCCAGUCGUGGGGGAUAACGUAGCGAAAGUUACGCUAAUACCGCAUACGAUCUAAGGAUGAAAGCGGGGGAUCGCAAGACCUCGCGCGACUGGAGCGGCCGAUAUCAGAUUAGGUAGUUGGUAGGGUAAAGGCCUACCAAGCCAACGAUCUGUAGCUGGUCUGAGAGGACGACCAGCCACACUGGAACUGAGACACGGUCCAGACUCCUACGGGAGGCAGCAGUGGGGAAUUUUGGACAAUGGGCGAAAGCCUGAUCCAGCCAUUCCGCGUGCAGGAUGAAGGCCCUCGGGUUGUAAACUGCUUUUGUACAGAACGAAAAGGUUUCUAUUAAUACUAGGAGCUCAUGACGGUACUGUAAGAAUAAGCACCGGCUAACUACGUGCCAGCAGCCGCGGUAAUACGUAGGGUGCAAGCGUUAAUCGGAAUUACUGGGCGUAAAGCGUGCGCAGGCGGUUAUAUAAGUCAGAUGUGAAAUCCCCGGGCUCAACCUGGGAACUGCAUUUGAGACUGUAUAGCUAGAGUACGGUAGAGGGGGGUGGAAUUCCGCGUGUAGCAGUGAAAUGCGUAGAUAUGCGGAGGAACACCGAUGGCGAAGGCAAUCCCCUGGACCUGUACUGACGCUCAUGCACGAAAGCGUGGGGAGCAAACAGGAUUAGAUACCCUGGUAGUCCACGCCCUAAACGAUGUCAACUGGUUGUUGGGUCUUUACUGACUCAGUAACGAAGCUAACGCGUGAAGUUGACCGCCUGGGGAGUACGGC
rnacentral:rRNA from 1 species